rnacentral:rRNA from 1 species
CCUACGGGGGGCUGCAGUAACGAAUCUUCCCCAAUGCACGAAAGUGUGAGGGAGCGACGCCGCGUGGAGAUGAAGUCCUUCGGGAUGUAAACUCCUGUCAGGGGUAAUUACCCCAGAGGAAGAGGCGGCUAACUCUGUGCCAGCAGCCGCGGUAAGACAGAGGCCUCAAGCGUUAGGCGGAAUCACUGGGCUUAAAGCGUGUGUAGGCGGACUUCUAAGUGCCUUGUGAAAUCCCACGGCUUAACCGUGGAACUGCUGGGCAUACUGGGAGUCUUGAGCUGUCUAGGGGCGACUGGAACAAACGGUGGAGCGGUGAAAUGCGUAGAUAUCGUUUGGAACGCCAAUGGUGAAAACAGGUCGCUGGGAAUGCUGACGCUGAGACACGAAAGCCAGGGGAGCAAACGGGAUUAGAUACCCUUGUAGUC